UCCGGUUUGUCACCGGCAGUCUCAUUAAAGUGCCCAACUCAAUGAUGGCAAUUAAUGACAAGGGUUGCGCUCGUUGCGGGACAUAACCCAACAUCUCACGACACGAGCUGACGGCAGCCAUGCAGCACCUGUGCUAGAGCUCCGAAGAGGGGCUCCGCUUUCACGGAGCUUUCUCUAGCAUGUCAAGCCCAGGUAAGGUUCUUCGCGUUGCUUCGAAUUAAACCACAUGCUCCACCGCUUGUGCGGGCCCCCGUCAAUUCCUUUGAGUUUCACCCUUGCGGGCGUACUCCCCAGGUGGAUGACUUAACGCUUUCGCUAAGACGCUGGCCGUGUAUCGCCAACAUCGAGUCAUCAUCGUUUACAGCGUGGACUAC
rnacentral:misc_RNA from 1 species